rnacentral:lncRNA from 1 species
AGAGAUGUCAAUUGGACACACUGUCCAUUGGUUACCGAUGUCCAAGCCCAUUUGGACUAACCAAAUUAGACCAAUAAAUAAAGCUGUCCAGUUGGUCGAAACCCAAUAAACUCCAAAUCCAAUGGGCUUAAACCAAAUGGACAUGGGCGGCCCAAUGGGUUUCCAAUGGAUAUUACUCUUUUUCGGCUCUCGUCUCUGCGACUCUCAUCUCUUCCCGUUCUCUCUCGAUGAAGUCGACUCACGGCGACUCUCCGUUCUCUCUCCCCUCAGCGUCUUAAUCCUCGACUCUCUCUCUCUCUCGGCGUCUCGAUCCGCCUCUCUCUCUCUCUCGGCGUCUCGAUCAUCUCUCUCUCUUUCUCGCGAGUCGCGACUCUCGAUCCGAUCUGCCUCUCUCGUAUGUCUCUUCUCUCUGUCUUAGCUCUAAGGUUCCAUUGUGCAUGUUGAUGAAUUUUCUCUUCUCUGAUUGUGUACAGCUUCUCAGUGACUCUCUCUCUCUCUCGGCGUCUCGAUCCGCCUCUCUCUCUCUCUCGGCGUCUCGAUCAUCUCUCUCUCUCGGCGUCUCGGUAUGAUGGGUUUCUCUGAUUUGUUUCUCUGAUGCGUUUGAUUCAGUUUAGUUUUGAUGGGUUUCUCUGCUUUGUUUGCGUUUGUAUUUAGAUGUGCAAAUCAUUUGUUUCAGCUGGUUAUGGUGUAACAUUAGCUUGCGUUUAGACACAUAUAGCUUGCGUUUUAAAUCAUUUGUUCCAGCUGGUUUUGAACGAGUUUUAAAUGACUUAAAUACACAUAUAGCUUGCGUUUGUAUAUAGUUUGAUGGGUUUCUCUGAUUUGUUUGAUGGGUUUCUCUAUAUAGCUUGCGUUUGUAUAUAGUUUGAUGGGUUUCUCUGAUUUGUUUGAUGGGUUUCUCUAUAUAGCUUGCGUUUGUAUAUAGUUUGAUGGGU